ensembl:lncRNA
GCCAAACGUGACGCACCAAACGGAGCAAUUUCUCCUAAACAAAUAAUCUUUCAGGAAAAACUGAGCAUUUGCUAUCUAACUGAGAGUCUCCUCAUUGAAAGCAUCUGAAGUUCUUCAAAGGUAAUGAUUUUAUUUGAAUGAUUUUCUGGUUUUUGUGAAAAUGUUGCCUGCUGAUGCUAACGCUAAAUGCUACGCUAGCUGGGCUAGCUGUUACACAAAUGCUUGUUUUGCUAUGGUUGAGAAGCAUAUUUUGAAAAUCUAAGAUGACAGUGUUGUUAACAAAAGGCUAAGCUUGAGAGCUAGCAUAUUAAUUUCAUUUCAUUUGUGAUUUUCAUGAAUAGUUAACGUUGCGUUAUGGUAAUGAGCUUGAGGCUGUAUUCACGAUCCCGGAUCUGGGAUGGCUCGACGCAAGAAGUUAACUCGUGUUUAUUUUAUUGCCAUUCAAGGUAGAUAGCCAGCUAAAUGUAUAGCUAGGGUAUCCAGAUUACUUGCCUUACAUUCCCCAACACGACUAUCUCAUGACUUCUUUCACCCUCCAGGUAUUCAGACUGCCUCCGUUUACGGGCCGACUUCUUAAAUUAAAAAUGUUUUCAGAGAGUUUGGUCUCAUAAAGAAGCAGCAGUGUUUUUCACUGUGUACACCAGAAGUCACAUGCAGGAUAUUUAAAUAUGUGUAUUUAAAUAUGCGUGUGUGUAGUCGAGCAUGUGUGCAUGUGUGUGCUUCCAUGUGCGUGUGUAAUUGAAGACGGGGGGAGUUUCACUGAGCUGAAGUGUACUACUCCAGAGUACAUUACCAGUACCUCUCUUUGUGCUAGCUCAAUAUCUCCUUACAACAGAAAUUGAAUUACACCAGAAGAUUUGAUAACACUUGAUGGAAGCGAAAAUGCUGCUUGUCCAUUAAAGAGAUAUUAUCUUCUGCUCUCUUCCUCUCUCUCUCCCUUCUCUGUCUCUCAGAAAAUUCAUCAUGUGAUUUUUCGAUUUCAACAACCUUUUUGCCAAAUACAAAAAUCUAUUAUAAAAGCUGCUGUUGUCCAUUUAAAGAAUGACUGUGUUAAUAAUGAAGAUGAUGCUGUUAUUAAUGAUGUACACAUUCUCAGUACUACACAGGUAUGAUGUUGUUAUUAAUGAUGUACACAUUCUCAGUAAUACACAGGUAUGAUGUUGUUAUUAAGGAUGUACACAUUCUCAGUAAUACACAGGUAUGAUGCUGUCAUUAAGGAUGUACACAUUCUCAGUAAUACACAGGUAUGAUGCUGUUAUUAAGGAUGUACACAUUCUCAGUACUACACAGGUAUGAUGCUGUCAUUAAGGAUGUACACAUUCUCAGUAAUACACAGGUAUGAUGCUGUCAUUAAGGAUGUACACAUUCUCAGUAAUACACAGGUAUGAUGUUGUUUUAUAUUUUAAUGUCUCAUCAGUUAUUUGUGAAGUGUAUUUAAGCAACUAAAGUAAAUGUAAUAAACACAUUUACUGGCUAAAGGAUGAACAAGUAAGGCAGGAUUGCAACGAAGACACGUUAUCACUGGAUGUCUUAAACUUGCUACUAAUAAGAGAUUACACGAAGCUGGUUACAAUGAAGAACCUGCGGAACCUUUAGACCAGCUCAUAUGAUGUCAUCACAUUCUUUCUUCAAUAAAGUACAAUAUGCCAGAACAGGUCUGCUGGCCUUGGAGUCCUGUAAGACUAUACAACGGCUCACUGUUCAGUGUUAUCAUGUUGUUCUAAAAAUAAAGAAAUCAUCUCUGCUAUCCACACACAACAUAGGACAUGUUACUCUUAAUUAACUACCAGCACGAUUUAAAAAAAAAAGUAAUUACAAUAUCAUUGUGCAACUUUAUAUAACUUACUUUGAAUACGAUAUAAUUUGAUUCCAAAUACAACACAAUGAUUUAGUUUCAUAUGUCAAAUGAGUAGACUAUCACAGCUAAAUAAUAUUUCCUUUUCCCUGCUUGAUAAGAAAUCGAUUCAGACAAUUCAAAUCAUUAAUGUAUUGCAUAAAUUGGAAACAAAAUAUAAUUUCUACUCCAUGACUUUUCCAGUCAGACAAUGUGUAGGGUAGACUACACUGUCAUAGUAGAUUUGCCACCGUAAACAAGGAAUUUAAUGCUAUAUUUCAGCUGUACGGAAUGAUUGAUAAAUACAUAAAUUGUACUUAGUCAUGUAAAAAAGACAGAUCAAAUUGUUAUGAUGAUAAUAACCACCAUAGAUCAAAACUUUCUUGAAGAAAGUCUGGUUACAAUGAGGACUACAAGAUAACCCGGACAUCCGAGUUAUCGAGCAGUAAAUAGGUGGCAGCUGAUGGUUGCAUCUGAGACGAUCAAUGCAGGUCAAUUUAGCGCUAUUGAUGGUUGCAUCUGAGACGAUCUAUGCAGGUCAAUUUAGCGAUAUUGAUGGUUGCAUCUGAGACGAUCUAUGCAGGUCAAUUUAGCGCUAUUGAUGGUAUGAGGAGAGAUCAGCUGUGCAGGUCAAUUUUGCUGUAUUGAUGGUUUAAGGAGAGAUCAGCUGGCGAUAAUCUAGUCGUCAAUUGUUGUUGUAACAGGCCCCAUUCAUAUUACAGAGAAGAGGAGCAUGCUGGGAAAACAGGAUGACAUGAACUGGCUCAAAUUACAAGCGGUUGUGUGGUGGCACUGGUUAAUUAGUUGACUGAUUGAAUGAAACAACACAAUUUGAAAAAUUAUUAAAUUGUGUGUGUGUGUGUGUGUUUGUGUGUGUGUAUAUGUGUUUGUGUGUGUGUGUGUGUGUGUGUGUGAAUGUGUAUGUGUGUGUAUGUGUUUGUUUGUGUGUAUGUGUGUGUGUGUACGUGUGUGUGUGUGUGUGUGUAAAUCAAAUAAAAUGUAAAAAUAUUGUAUUUUCACAUGCUGAGAAUACAACCUUACUCAGUCCUCCCUUUCCUGUAGCACACAAUCAUAUCCUUUGUCUUGAUCACAUUGACGGAGUUGUUAUCCUGGCACCACACGGCCAGGUCUCUGACCUCCUCCCAAGAGACGGUUUCAUCGUUGUCAGUGAUCAGCCACUGUUGGCCAUACAGUCAAGGGUGAACAGGGAGUACAGGAAGGGACUGAGCAUGCACCCCUGAGGGGCCCCCAUGUUGAGGAUCAGUGUGGCAGAUGUGUUGUUAUCUACACUCACCACCUGGGGGCAGCCCGUCAGGAAGUCCAGGAUCCAGUUGGAGAGGGAGGUGUUUAGUACCAGGGUCCAUAGCAUAGUGAUGGCCUUUGAGGGCACUAUGGUGUUGAACGCUGAGCUGUAGUCAAUGAAUAGCAUUCUCACGUCUGUGUUUCUUUU